GUAGCCGAUAGAGUGUGAUCCUGGCUCAGUAUAGUUAUCUGCGGGGUCGGNAUACGAUAACGGCGUCGAGCGGCGGACGGGUGAGUAAUGCCUAGGAAAUUGCCCUGAUGUGGGGGAUAACCAUUGGAAACGAUGGCUAAUACCGCAUGAUGCCUACGGGCCAAAGAGGGGGACCUUCGGGCCUCUCGCGUCAGGAUAUGCCUAGGUGGGAUUAGCUAGUUGGUGAGGUAAGGGCUCACCAAGGCGACGAUCCCUAGCUGGUCUGAGAGGAUGAUCAGCCACACUGGAACUGAGACACGGUCCAGACUCCUACGGGAGGCAGCAGUGGGGAAUAUUGCACAAUGGGCGCAAGCCUGAUGCAGCCAUGCCGCGUGUGUGAAGAAGGCCUUCGGGUUGUAAAGCACUUUCAGUCGUGAGGAAGGUGGUGUAGUUAAUAGCUGCAUUAUUUGACGUUAGCGACAGAAGAAGCACCGGCUAACUCCGUGCCAGCAGCCGCGGUAAUACGGAGGGUGCGAGCGUUAAUCGGAAAUUACUGGGCGUAAAGCGCAUGCAGGUGGUUUGUUAAGUCAGAUGUGAAAGCCCGGGGCUCAACCUCGGAAUAGCAUUUGAAACUGGCAGACUAGAGUACUGUAGAGGGGGGUAGAAUUUCAGGUGUAGCGGUGAAAUGCGUAGAGAUCUGAAGGAAUACCGGUGGCGAAGGCGGCCCCCUGGACAGAUACUGACACUCAGAUGCGAAAGCGUGGGGAGCAAACAGGAUUAGAUACCCUGGUAGUCCACGCCGUAAACGAUGUCUACUUGGAGGUUGUGGCCUUGAGCCGUGGCUUUCGGAGCUAACGCGUUAAGUAGACCGCCUGGGGAGUACGGUCGCAAGAUUAAAACUCAAAUGAAUUGACGGGGGCCCGCACAAGCGGUGGAGCAUGUGGUUUAAUUCGAUGCAACGCGAAGAACCUUACCUACUCUUGACAUCCAGAGAACUUUCCAGAGAUGGAUUGGUGCCUUCGGGAACUCUGAGACAGGUGCUGCAUGGCUGUCGUCAGCUCGUGUUGUGAAAUGUUGGGUUAAGUCCCGCAACGAGCGCAACCCUUAUCCUUGUUUGCCAGCGAGUAAUGUCGGGAACUCCAGGGAGACUGCCGGUGAUAAACCGGAGGAAGGUGGGGACGACGUCAAGUCAUCAUGGCCCUUACGAGUAGGGCUACACACGUGCUACAAUGGCGCAUACAGAGGGCGGCCAACUUGCGAAAGUGAGCGAAUCCCAAAAAGUGCGUCGUAGUCCGGAUUGGAGUCUGCAACUCGACUCCAUGAAGUCGGAAUCGCUAGUAAUCGUGGAUCAGAAUGCCACGGUGAAUACGUUCCCGGGCCUUGUACACACCGCCCGUCACACCAUGGGAGUGGUAUAGNAAGAUACCCUAGGGUCACUAUAAGUCGUAACACAGGUAGCACGNAGAGU
rnacentral:rRNA from 1 species